UCAACCUGAGAGUUUGAUCCUGGCUCAGAGCGAACGCUGGCGGCAGGCCUAACACAUGCAAGUCGAACGGACCCUUCGGGGUUAGUGCGGACGGGUGAGUAACACGUGGGAACGUGCCUUUU
rnacentral:rRNA from 1 species